GGCCUGCAGCCACAGCUGCCCUCCAGCGGAGCACAGCACAUCCCAGCUGCCGGUACCCGGGCCUCGACUGUAUUUCAGAGAUCCUGAAGAAAAGAGCAGGCAUCAGAAAUUGGGCAGUGAGAUAUCCACUCACUCCGUUCUAACAGAGAUGCGAGGGUUUACCCACGUACCUCAAGGAACAAAUUCGCUACAAAUAAGAGACCCGCACACACGAACGCCCUCAGCAGAAAGAAGCCCCGACCCGCGGCGCUGCGCUCCGCACACACCGUAACGGCUCCCGCCGAAACCCACACCCGCCCCAGAGGGACCCCCGGCCUACAGCAAGAAUCGAAGGCAGCUUUCUGCCUCUUCCCGUCUCAACCACCGCCCGCCCCAAGCUCACAGCGCCUCAGGAGCCGAGCGGGCUGGGCGCUACCUCCACAGAAACAACGCAGCUAAAAGAAAGAAAAGGGAGAGUGGAGGUCGGAGCGCGGAGCCUUGGCGGGCGGAGUGAAAAGCAGCAUCGCGGAGCCGAGAGAGCCCGCCUCACCUGAGCUCACCCCAGAUGGCGGCGCGACCCGACCCCACCCCAUACGCCCCGCCUCACAGCGCAGCCCCGCGCUUCCGGUCCGCUGGCGGAAGUAGGCGCCGCGCGGGCCUGGCGCCCU